GCCAGCAGCCGCGGUAACACCGGCAGCUCUAGUGGUAGCAAUUUUAUUGGGCCUAAAGCGUCCGUAGCCGGUUUAAUAAGUCUCUGGUGAAAUCCUGCAGCUUAACUGUGGGAAUGCUGGAGAUACUAUUAGACUGAGACCGGGAGAGGUUAGAGGUACUCCCAGGGUAGAGGUGAAAUUCUGUAAUCCUGGGAGGACCGCCUGUUGCGAAGGCGUCUAGCUGGAACGGUUCUGACGGUGAGGGACGAAAGUUAGGGGCGCGAACCGGAUUAGAUACCCGGGUAGUCCUAACUGUAAACGAUGCGGACUUGGUGUUGGGGUGGCUUUGAGCUGCUUCAGUGCCGAAGGGAAGCUGUUAAGUCCGCCGCCUGGGAAGUACGGUCGCAAGACUGAAACUUAAGGAAUUGGCGGGGGAGCACCACAACGCGUGGAGCCUGCCGGUUUAAUUGGAUUCAACGCCGGACAUCUCACCAGAGGCGACAGCUGUAUGAUAGCCAGGUUGAUGACUUUGCUUGACUAGCUGAGUGGAGGUGCAUGG
rnacentral:rRNA from 1 species